rnacentral:rRNA from 1 species
GCUGGCGGCGUGCCUAACACAUGCAAGUGGAGCGACGAACCGGGCUUCGGCCCGGGGCAGAGCCGCGAACGGGUGAGUAACACGUGGGUAACGUGCCCCGAUGAUUGGGACAACCCGAGGAAACUCGGGCUAAUACCAAAUGUGCCCUCCAGCCAUAAGGCUGUCGGGGAAAGGAAGCUUCGGCCUCCGCAUCGGGAUCGGCCCGCGGCCCAUUAGCUUGUUGGUGAGGUAACGGCUCACCAAGGCUACGAUGGGUAGCUGGUCUGAGAGGACGAUCAGCCACACUGGGACUGAGACACGGCCCAGACUCCUACGGGAGGCAGCAGUGGGGAAUCUUGCGCAAUGCGCGAAAGCGUGACGCAGCAACGCCGCGUGGGCGAAGAAGGCCUUCGGGUUGUAAAGCCCUUUCAGUUGGGACGAAGCUUCGUCGGUUAAUAGCCCGGUUGGAGUGACGGUACCUUCAGAAGAAGCCCCGGCUAACUACGUGCCAGCAGCCGCGGUAAUACGUAGGGGGCAAGCGUUGUCCGGAAUCAUUGGGCGUAAAGCGCGUGUAGGCGG